CUGUCUCUUGCUUCAACAGUGCUUGGACGGAACAG
rfam:Myotis lucifugus cont2.24826, whole genome shotgun sequence.